CAGAGCAUCAAAUACAGCAGUCCAGCCCGACGCUACAGAGGUCGGCAGAGCAUCAAUUCAGAUGGGUUGGGAGUGAGAACGUGAUCUGAUUUGAACUUGAAAUGACUUCUUUAUAACAUGUUAUACCAAUAUUCUAGACUUAGCAAAUUAAUAGUUCUGCAUCAAUUUCUGUGGUGUUUGAAUCAAGAGGUUCCAUUUGCACCGCCUUUCCUAAAAGCUGUCGUAUGUGUCGUCCGCCAAUCGUUGUCACACAGUCAAACAACUCAUGCGCUCAUUACAUUGCGAGCUCCGGUGUGCGCUGGAUGAAGAGGGAUCGGCUAGUUUUGAAAGAGCAGCACUCGCCAUCGCUCUCUUUGUAUCGCUGUUCUCUCUCAACCCUCUAGUUCAUGUUGUGCUGUUUUCCCCGACGGCUCAGCAGAGGUGAGGAAGAGAGCCUGACCUCCCGCCGCUCCACGCAGAAGCCCCGCAGAAAGGUUGGAAUCUUGAGAAACGUGUCUCCCCGGCUGAGUUCAAAGGUGUGCGAGAUAAAUCCACUGGGUGAUGCUGGCGCUUUGAACGGGGUUGUUGUUGUGUUCUCAGAGCAUACGUACGCCUCUCUACAGAGCUGUCACACAACUGGGAAAACACGCUUGAUGAUUCCAUUUGUCUGUUUUAAUGACGAUGCGAUGUGACACUUCACCACAGUAAACAAGAUACAUACAUGUUUUUGUACAGUGAGGCUGUAAUAAGACUGUAAUGCAUUUUUUGAUUCGGUGAACAAAAAGUGUUGCUUUCAAACAUCAAAAUGGAAAAAAAAAAAAAAAUGUGUUACCUGGA